AGCUGCGAAGCAGCAGAGGUGACAUAUGACACUCCUAUUAUACACUCAAAAUAUUAAGAGGCGAAUUCUCAAAAAGAAGCAGGUGCCAGAAUGGCCAAAGACGUCAAAAAUAAGCCUCAGAGUCUAUGUCUCCCUUCGGGACCUCCGGCGUGGCGCUGCGGUCUCUUCCUUCUCGUCCUCUUUCUCCUCCUUGUCACCACUGCUUCCAGCACCAUCAGUCUCAGUCACCUUGGGCUUCUUCGCCUCAGCUGCAGGUUUCACAGGAGCCUGCAACAAGCAAAUGUUGUGGGUUGGGCGUUCUCUUCAAGUCUAGGAUGACGGGGGGAGUAAAACAAUCGUUGGGAAGAACUUACCACAGGCUUCUUGCCACCGAACAGGAUCCUGAAGAGCACGGUCACAAAGACAACAACAACCGAGACCAAAAUGCCAAUAGUGAUGUUGGGCUGCUUCUCUCCCUUCUCGAUCACAUCCUGUGUGCAAGAUAUUGAGAGAAGAUGUCACUUUCUAGGUGUGACAUUCAGAUGUUUGACAAGAUAGGUUAGCAAAGAUUUCCAGAACUCACAAUGAUCUUGGUCUUGUAGGGUGCCAAGAAUGGAACAUCAGCAAUCUUGUACAGGAUGUCAAAAACCUUCUUCUGCAAUGCAGAUGGCAAAACAAGUUAGUUAUAAAAUGGAAGUAUGGUCCAGUAAAGAAAUUAACAGUAAUGGCUGUAAUAAAAAGAUAAGAAAAUGAAUUACCUGGAACUCAGAAAGACCAUCUGCACCAGCAGCAGCCUCCUCAGCCUUCUCCUUUUCCUUCUCAACUUCAUAUUUGGGCUUCCAGGUCUUCUCUAGGAUGGAGGUGGCAACCUUCUCAUCAUCAGCAAUCAAAAUAUUGUCAAACAGGAUGCCAUCCUGCAUCGUCCAGAUCUCAAUUCCAAUAGCAGCAAUUGGAUCAAAGUCAGGCUUGUCGAG
rnacentral:lncRNA from 1 species